rnacentral:rRNA from 1 species
AUUGAACGCUGGCGGCAGGCCUAACACAUGCAAGUCGAACGAGUGGCGGACGGGUGAGUAAUGUCUGGGAAACUGCCCGAUGGAGGGGGAUAACUACUGGAAACGGUAGCUAAUACCGCAUACCCUCGGAUGUGGCCAGAUGGGAUUAGAUAGUCGGUGGGGUAACGGCUCAACUAGGCGACGAUCCCUAGAUGGUCUGAGAGGAUGACCAGCCACACUGUACCGGAACCACGGUCCAGACGUCUACGUGAGGCAGCAGUGGGUAAUAUUGCACAAUGGGCGCAAGCCUGAUGCAGCCAUCCCGCGUGUGCGAUGAAGGCCUUCGGGUUGUAAAGCACUUUUUGCAGGAAAGCGGUACCGGCAGAAUAAGCACCGGCUAACUACGUGCCAGCCGCCGCGGUAAUUC